AGUGCAAUUGUUGGGUCAUAUGGUAGUUGCAUAUUUCUCCCUCUAAGAAAAAGUGCCAAACUGUUUUCCGACUAGCUGUACCACUUUACAUUUCCCAUAGCAAU
rnacentral:miRNA from 1 species